UACGUAGGGGGCUAGCGUUGUCCGGAAUCAUUGGGCGUAAAGCGCGUGUAGGCGGUCCGGUAAGUCCGCUGUGAAAGUCGAGGGCUCAACCCUCGAAUGCCGGUGGAUACUGUCGGGCUAGAGUACGGAAGAGGCGAGUGGAAUUCCUGGUGUAGCGGUGAAAUGCGCAGAUAUCAGGAGGAACACCGGUGGCGAAGGCGGGUCUCUGGGCAGUAACUGACGCUGAGGAGCGAAAGCGUGGGGAGCGAACAGG
rnacentral:rRNA from 1 species